UACGUAGGUGGCAAGCGUUAUCCGGAAUUAUUGGGCGUAAAGCGCGCGCAGGUGGUUUCUUAAGUCUGAUGUGAAAGCCCACGGCUCAACCGUGGAGGGUCAUUGGAAACUGGGAGACUUGAGUGCAGAAGAGGAAAGUGGAAUUCCAUGUGUAGCGGUGAAAUGCGUAGAGAUAUGGAGGAACACCAGUGGCGUAGGCGACUUUCUGGUCUGUAACUGACACUGAGGCGCGAAAGCGUGGGGAGCAAACAGG
rnacentral:rRNA from 1 species